AACGUAGGUUCCGAGCGUUAUCCGGAUUUACUGGGCGUAAAGCGUGCUCAGGCGGCUCAGCAAGUCGGGCCUGAAAUCUCUCGGCUCAACCGGGAGAGGCUGUCCGAUACUGCUGGGCUUGAGGGCAGUAGAGGGUGGUGGAAUUCCGGGUGUAGUGGUGAAAUGCGUAGAUAUCCGGAGGAACACCAGUGGCGAAAGCGGCCACCUGGACUGUUCCUGACGCUCAAACACGAAAGCUAGGGGAGCGAACGGG
rnacentral:rRNA from 1 species